rnacentral:piRNA from 1 species
UAAUAUAAUCAACAAAAAUUGCUUAAUA